AUUGAACGCUGGCGGCAGGCCUAACACAUGCAAGUCGAGCGGAUGAAGGGAGCUUGCUCCUGGAUUCAGCGGCGGACGGGUGAGUAAUGCCUAGGAAUCUGCCUGGUAGUGGGGGAUAACGUCCGGAAACGGGCGCUAAUACCGCAUACGUCCUGAGGGAGAAAGUGGGGGAUCUUCGGACCUCACGCUAUCAGAUGAGCCUAGGUCGGAUUAGCUAGUUGGUGGGGUAAAGGCCUACCAAGGCGACGAUCCGUAACUGGUCUGAGAGGAUGAUCAGUCAAACUGGAAAAGAGAAAAGGUACAGACUAAGACGGGAGGCAGAAGUGGGGAAUAUUGGAAAAUGGGCGAAAGAUUGAUCAAGACAUGCAGCGGGGAUGAAGAAGGGCUUCGUAUUAUAAAGCACUUUAAAUGGGGAGGAAGGGAAGAAAGUUAAUAACUUGCUGUUUUGAAGUUACGAACAGAAUAGGCACCGGAUAACUUCGUG
rnacentral:rRNA from 1 species